ACACGACUACAUUAGAUACCCGUGUAGUCCUAGCCGUAAACGAUACUCGCUAGGUGUCGGCCACGGUGCGACCGUUGUCGGUGCCGUAGGGAAGCCGUGAAGCGAGCCACCUGGGAAGUACGGCCCGCAAGGCUAGAAACUUGAAGGAUUGGCGGGGAGCACAACAACGGGUGGAGCUUGCGGUUUAAUUGGAUUCAACGCCGGAAAUCUUACCGGGACCGACAGCAACAUGAAGGCCAAGCUGAAGACUUUGCCGGAUUAGCUG
rnacentral:rRNA from 1 species